rnacentral:rRNA from 1 species
CCUACGGGAGGCAGCAGUGAGGAAUAUUGGUCAAUGGUCGAGAGACUGAACCAGCCAAGCCGCGUGAGGGAUGAAGGUACUGUGUAUCGUAAACCUCUUUUGUCAGGGAACAAAGGCGGGGACGUGUCCCCGGAUGAGUGUACCUGAAGAAAAAGCAUCGGCUAACUCCGUGCCAGCAGCCGCGGUAAUACGGAGGAUGCGAGCGUUAUCCGGAUUUAUUGGGUUUAAAGGGUGCGCAGGCGGUCUGUUAAGUCAGCGGUAAAAGCGCGGGGCUCAACCCCGGCCCGCCGUUGAAACUGGCAGUCUGGAGUGGGCGAGAGGUAUGCGGAAUGCGCGGUGUAGCGGUGAAAUGCAUAGAUAUCGCGCAGAACUCCGAUUGCGAAGGCAGCAUGCCGGCGCCAGACUGACGCUGAGGCACGAAAGCGUGGGUAUCGAACAGGAUUAGAUACCCUAGUAGUC